UCCCCCGUGAGGGGGCAGUCUCGCCUGACAUAUAUAACAGACAACGAGGGUUGCGUUCGUUACCCCACUGAAGGGAACAGCUCAAGCCACGAACUGACGACGACCAUGCAUCACCUGCCAAGCACCCUCGAAGGAUUCUCCCGUUUCUGGGAGCGUGCAGCUUGGUUUCUAGCCUUGGUAAGGUUCUUCGCUUAUCGACGAAUUAAGCCACAUGAUCCACCGCUUGUGCGAGUCCCCGUCUAUUCCUUUGAGUUUUAACCUUGCGAUCGUACUACCCAGGCGGCUCGCUUACCGCGUUAGCUUAGUCCCACAGAGGGUCGAUACUCCGUAGAACGAGCGAGCAGCGUUUAGGGCCAGGACUAC
rnacentral:misc_RNA from 1 species